UCUGGAGCCCCUUUAUGAUGACCUCGAUCCGGUGAGUAUUAAUUAUUAAUGGCCCAAGGCCUGGCCCCUGUCAAACCUUUGUCAAUACAAUUCUGUUGAAUCUGGUAUAGGGUGAAGGCACAUCUACUGCACAAGAUGAGGAGGAAACCAUAUCAGUGGACUCAAGAAGACAGGAGGACCCAGACCCUGUGCAGGCAGACACUCAGCCUGCCAACAUAGUAAGUAUUACCCUGAAGAACAAAUUCACACCAUGCACAAUUCCUGCUGUAUUUAAGAAAGUAUUGGUCUCUGACCAGUCUCACAGCAGCCAAGUCAUAACUGAUAUGUGUUUUACAGAGUUCCCAAAUGGUCAGGUCCCUAUACACCACACACCUCCAGAAGCAAAUUGAUUUGGCAGAGAUAAAAAUUAAAUUAAAGAAAC